GACGAACGCUGGCGGCGUGCUUAACACAUGCAAGUCGAACGGAAAGGCCCUGCUUUUGUGGGGUGCUCGAGUGGCGAACGGGUGAGUAACACGUGAGUAACCUGCCCUUGACUUUGGGAUAACUUCAGGAAACUGGGGCUAAUACCGGAUAGGAGCUCCUGCUGCAUGGUGGGGGUUGGAAAGUUUCGGCGGUUGGGGAUGGACUCGCGGCUUAUCAGCUUGUUGGUGGGGUAGUGGCUUACCAAGGCUUUGACGGGUAGCCGGCCUGAGAGGGUGACCGGCCACAUUGGGACUGAGAUACGGCCCAGACUCCUACGGGAGGCAGCAGUGGGGAAUAUUGCACAAUGGGCGGAAGCCUGAUGCAGCAACGCCGCGUGCGGGAUGACGGCCUUCGGGUUGUAAACCGCUUUCGCCUGUGACGAAGCGUGAGUGACGGUAAUGGGUAAAGAAGCACCGGCUAACUACGUGCCAGCAGCCGCGGUGAUACGUAGGGUGCGAGCGUUGUCCGGAUUUAUUGGGCGUAAAGGGCUCGUAGGUGGUUGAUCGCGUCGGAAGUGUAAUCUUGGGGCUUAACCCUGAGCGUGCUUUCGAUACGGGUUGACUUGAGGAAGGUAGGGGAGAAUGGAAUUCCUGGUGGAGCGGUGGAAUGCGCAGAUAUCAGGAGGAACACCAGUGGCGAAGGCGGUUCUCUGGGCCUUUCCUGACGCUGAGGAGCGAAAGCGUGGGGAGCGAACAGGCUUAGAUACCCUGGUAGUCCACGCUGUAAACGGUGGGUACUAGGUGUGGGGUCCAUUCCACGGGUUCCGUGCCGUAGCUAACGCUUUAAGUACCCCGCCUGGGGAGUACGGCCGCAAGGCUAAAACUCAAAGGAAUUGACGGGGCCCCGCACAAGCGGCGGAGCAUGCGGAUUAAUUCGAUGCAACGCGUAGAACCUUACCUGGGUUUGGCAUGGAUCGGGAGCGCUCAGAGAUGGGUGUGCCUCUUUUGGGGUCGGUUCACAGGUGGUGCAUGGCUGUCGUCAGCUCGUGUCGUGAGAUGUUGGGUUAAGUCCCGCAACGAGCGCAACCCUUGUUCACUGUUGCCAGCACGUUAUGGUGGGGACUCAGUGGAGACCGCCGGGGUCAACUCGGAGGAAGGUGGGGAUGACGUCAAGUCAUCAUGCCCCUUAUGUCCAGGGCUUCACGCAUGCUACAAUGGCUGGUACAGAGAGUGGCGAGCCUGUGAGGGUGAGCGAAUCUCGGAAAGCCGGUCUCAGUUCGGAUUGGGGUCUGCAACUCGACCUCAUGAAGUCGGAGUCGCUAGUAAUCGCAGAUCAGCAACGCUGCGGUGAAUACGUUCCCGGG
rnacentral:rRNA from 1 species